GCUUGCAUUCGGGGUUGAGGACUGCAAUAUCCAAGAGAACGCUUUAGCAGAGUUACCUGGAAAGGUAAGCCAUAGAAAGUGAUAGCCUUGUAUGCGACAAGGCGUUUUUAGGUAGCAGUAUCCAGAGUAGGCCAGGACACGAGAAAUCCAGGUUGAAGCCGGGGAGACCACUCUCCAACCCUAAAUACUACUCUUUGAGCGAUAGCGAACAAGUACCGUGAGGGAAAGGUGAAAAGAACCGCAGUGAGCGGAGUGAAAUAGAACCUGAAACCAUCUGCUUACAAUCAUUCAGAGCCCUAUGAUUUAUCAGGGUGAUGGACUGCCUUUUGCAUAAUGAUCCUGCGAGUUGUGGUAUCUGGCAAGGUUAAGCGAAUGCGAAGCCGUAGCGAAAGCGAGUCUUAAUAGGGCGCUUGAGUCAGAUGCUGCAGACCCGAAGCUAAGUGAUCUAUCCAUGGCCAAGUUGAAGCGCGUGUAAUAGCGCGUGGAGGACUGAACUCGUACCCAUUGAAACGGGUUGGGAUGAGCUGUGGAUAGGGGUGAAAGGCCAAACAAACUUAGUGAUAGCUGGUUCUCUUCGAAAUAUAUUUAGGUAUAGCCUCAAGUGAUAAUAAAAGGGGGUAGAGCUCUGAUUGGGCUAGGGCUGCUCGCCGCGGUACCAAACCCUAUCAAACUUCGAAUACCUUUUAUCGUAUCUUGGGAGUCAGGCGGUGGGUGAUAAAAUCAAUCGUCAAAAGGGGAACAACCCAGACUACCAAAUAAGGUCCCUAAGUUCUAUUCUGAGUGGAAAAAGAUGUGUGGCUACUCAAACAACCAGGAGGUUGGCUUAGAAGCAGCCAUCCUUUAAAGAAAGCGUAACAGCUCACUGGUCUAGUGGUCAUGCGCUGAAAAUAUAACGGGGCUAAGAUAGACACCGAAUUUGUAGAUUGUGUUUGACACAGUGGUAGAAGAGCGUUCAUACCAGCGUUGAAGGUAUACCGGUAAGGAGUGCUGGAGCGGUAUGAAGUGAGCAUGCAGGAAUGAGUAACGAUAAGAUAUAUGAGAAUUGUAUCCGCCGUAAAUCUAAGGUUUCCUACGCGAUGGUCGUCAUCGUAGGGUUAGUCGGGUCCUAAGCCGAGUCCGAAAGGGGUAGGUGAUGGCAAAUUGGUUAAUAUUCCAAUACCGACUUAUGGAGCGUGAUGGGGGGACGCAUAGGGUUAAGCGAGCUAGCUGAUGGAAGUGCUAGUCUAAGGGCGUAGAUUGGAGGGAAGGCAAAUCCACCUCUGUAUUUGAAACCCAAACAGGCUCUUUGAGUCCUUUUAGGACAAAGGGAGAAUCGCUGAUACCGUCGUGCCAAGAAAAGCCUCUAAGCAUAUCCAUAGUCGUCCGUACCGCAAACCGACACAGGUAGAUGAGAUGAGUAUUCUAAGGCGCGUGAAAGAACUCUGGUUAAGGAACUCUGCAAACUAGCACCGUAAGUUCGCGAUAAGGUGUGCCACAGCGAUGUGGUCUCAGCAAAGAGUCCCUCCCGACUGUUUACCAAAAACACAGCACUUUGCCAACUCGUAAGAGGAAGUAUAAGGUGUGACGCCUGCCCGGUGCUCGAAGGUUAAGAGGAUGCGUCAGUCGCAAGAUGAAGCGUUGAAUUGAAGCCCGAGUAAACGGCGGCCGUAACUAUAACGGUCCUAAGGUAGCGAAAUUCCUUGUCGG
rnacentral:rRNA from 1 species